rnacentral:hammerhead_ribozyme from 1 species
AUGCGAAACCGCCGCGAGGCGGUCUGCUGGGCGUGGUUGCCUGGUACUGAUGAGCAGCCGAGG